ensembl:lincRNA
GCAAAAACCACUCGGGCAGAGGAUCCCAGGUCUCCGACCUUUCUGCACUGGAAAGGCGGCACGGCGCAACGUGCUCCGCUCUGCUCGAAAAGCCAACGCCACAAGGUUUUCGGGUUAAGGAUAGACACCCCGGAUGCUCUCCACCGGACCUGGGUACCCCGUGGCGUUCCCAGGCGGGGCGCCACCGCUCAGAGAGGGGCCAGUGAGGGUCACUUACCGUCGCUCUCCGCCCUGACGAGCAGGGACAUGCCCUUCAGCCUCUCCACGUAGCCGGAGGACACAUGGCCCGUCCCCCGGUCGUCCCACUGCCGGUCCUCGUUGAGCGUGUAGACCUUCACCCGCCGUCGGGUGUCGGUCAUCGUGCCGGCCGGGGGCCCCGCCCGGGUGGCCCAGGGACGGUGUCCAGAAAAGGCGGGCGGCNGCAAACGGGGAACUCCGGGACCUCAGUGCCACCGCUGGCCGCCGCGGAGCNGCGCCGCCGCUCGCAUGGCCCGCUCCCGGGUCCGAGCCCCGGGCCGCCGCUUUCUCUCGUCUCCUUCUCCUCGGCGCUAUUGUCCAGGCCGAGCGAGCGCGGCCGCCCAGCAGCCCCGACAGGGAACNCGCGGCACCGCGCAGCCUACCGGCCCGCCGUUCCGACGAGGUGCGGCUCGGUUCACAGCCCCGCUCCGGNUUCCACCAUGACCUCCGCAGAGCCGCUUUCCCGCGCCGCCGCCUCCUCAGGCCGCCGCCGCCAUGUUUUCCUCCCUUGUACCCGGCCCAGCCGCUGCAGCCGGAGUCCCCGCUCCGCUCCUCCCGCUUAAAGCAUCCGACGCCGGCGAGGUAGCACUUCCCGGGAGACUCCGAACGCCCCUGGCCGCCCGAGGACCCCUGGCUCUUCUCAGAAGCCGCCUUCCCUACUCCGCCGCCUCUUCCGUCUUCCUCACAGAGCCAAAGCCGCCGCCAUCUUGACUCGCCCCUCAAAAGCGGCGCGCGGGGCCACCUAGGCAGCAGCGGCAGGGGCGGCCCGCAAGCCCCACCAUUUAAAGCGACAAGGCAGGAGCCAGCAGCCUCGCUCCGGCGGAGGCCUCGCACCGAGGCGGCCGCGGAGCUGCGGGGGUGGCGGGAGCGGAGGAGGCGGGACGCGAGUCGCGCCGGUGACGGACCGGGACUCCCUCGCGCUGCACUGCGCGUACUGUCGUGCAAGCGCGGGCUGCGUGUGCGUCCGUCGCACUCUGUAUUCGUCAUCACCUCGGCUCCGGGCGGGGAAGGGGUGUGGAGGCGGUUGGCGGCUUCGGGCGCCAGUCUGGCCUCUGAUCCCGGAGCUCGCCCUUUGCCGUGCGAGCCUUCCCCGGACCUUUGCAGUCGGCCCCGGGGGCGCGGGCUGCUGGCCGCCGCCUCCUCUUCCUCCUCCCUUGGCCUGCAAUAGAGAGGUUUCUGAGAGGACACCGUUUGGACUGCGAGGUUGGCGGGAUGCAGGGAGGCACGCACCGGCCGGUAAAUUACACGAUCUCAGGGUUGACCGUGUGAUAAGGUACCCUGUAACUAUACUCUUUCUACCUCUCGAAUCUACCCUGCUUCCCUGGAUGAGAUGCAGCUUUUCUCUUAGCAACUGAGUAAGCAUCCAGGAUGGCUUUUUUUUUUUUUUUUUAAGAUUUACUUUUAUCUGCAUCAGCUUGUCUGCGCGUAUGUAUGUGCACUAUGUGCAUGCCUGAUGCUCUUGGAGGCUAGAAGAGGAUGUUAGAUCACCUGUUAACUGCGACUACAGGCAAUUGUGAACUGCAUGUGGAUGAUGAGAAGCAAAACCCUGUCCUUUACAAGAGAAGCUGUGGUUUAAAGUGCUGAGCUGUCUUUCUAGUUCCAAAUACCCAAGAGGAGUCUAAAGUCCCUCUCAGAGGACCCUGAGACAGCUUUUUUUGCUUGUUUUUUCGAGACAGGGUUUCUCUGUGUAGCCUUGGCUGUCCUGGAACUCACUUUGUAGACCAGGCUGGCCUUGAACUCAGAAAUCCGCCUGUCUCUGCCUCCAAAGUGCUGGGAUUAAAGGUGUGCGCCACCACUGUCCAGCCCUUGAGAUAUCUUAGUGAAUGAGGAAAGGCACUUACUGCUAAGCCCGAUGACCUGAGUUUGACCCUUGAAACCCAUGUGAUGGAAGGCGAGAACCAAUCCCCUUACCUUGUUCUCUGACAGCCACACCCCCCUCUCUCUCCCACAGAAAUAAAAUGUU